rnacentral:misc_RNA from 1 species
GUCACAGCUGGCUCAUCUUAAAUGUAUUAGCUGGAUUUGUCUGAUUGACAGGUUUGACUUGGCGUAAUAAGUAUUUCGCUGAGGACAUCUCUUGAGAUGGCCAGUCUUCAUACUACAGUCUGCUUUCCAACACAUUUGUCUUUGGACAUGACUUUUUAUUAUUUGGCCUCAAAUCAGGUAGGACUACCCGCUGAACUUAA